rnacentral:rRNA from 1 species
UACAGAGGGGGCAAGCGUUAUUCGGAAUUAUUGGGCGGUAAAGGGCGCGUAGGCGGCCUGGCAAGUGGAAAUGGGUGAAAUCCCUCCGGCUUAACCGAGGAACUGCCUCCCAAACUGCUUGGCUUGAGACAGGAGAGGUGAGUGGAAUUCCCAGUGUAGCGGUGAAAUGCGUAGAUAUUGGGAGGAACACCAGUGGCGAAGGCGGCUCACUGGACUGGUAACUGACGCUGAGGCGGCGAAAAGCGGUGGGGAGACCAAACGGGG